GCUACUGUGGCUCAGUGGUUAGAGCGUCGGCCUAGGGACUGAAGGGUCCCAGGUUCAAUUCCGGUCAAGGGCA
rnacentral:tRNA from 1 species